UUAUAGCAGUUUUAUAGAGUGCGUAUGACUGACAUAAUUAAUUUUAGAAUUGCAAUUUUCUGUCAUUGAAUAUUUGAUUCAUUGUAUUUAAUUCACACUUAGUAGAAGAAAUAGCAUUGUUUUUGAUUCCAUUACAGGUUAAUGACAUCAGAAAAACCUAUUUCUUCAAUAAAGAAUAAAGAAUGGAUUACAUUCUUAUGAAUCAAAAACUCAGGCUAUUGAUCGUGAGAUAAGAAGUAGAUAUUCCUUGGGAUAGUUUUUUAUAUAAGUUUGGUUUAUUGCUUAUGGACACCAAGGAACAAUAAGGUUUUUCAUUUCACAGCCACUGGAGUAUGGUUGAUAAUAUGUCUCACUAUUGCAAAUCAGUUUGGUUCCUAUGCUUUGCCAGUUUUUGCAGUCUUUCAGGUUAUCAUACUGACUGGUUUCUUUUCUGAAAUAUACAGCAAUCAUGGCGAAGGGGACGAAGUUAGUAUUUGGAAAUUAAUCAUUUCAGCAUUUCAAGGAGGCGUACUUUCGGACUCUUCUUCUGAAGAAAUUGUUGAUAAUUCUGU